CGGCCAUACCAUGCUGAAUAUACCGGUUCUCGUUAGAUCACCGAAGUCAAGCAUCAUUGGGCGCGGUCAGUACUUGGUGGGUGACCACCUGGGAACACCGCGUGCCGUU
rnacentral:rRNA from 1 species